CGCCUGCGGUUCCUGCGCAAUGUUUGCCAUCUUGCCAAAGGUUGCAGGCAGCUUUACCUGCAGCAAUUGCAUGUUGAUUGCCCUCUUAGAAGACAAAGUCCAGCAACUGGAGGAACGUGUAGCUACGCUCCAAAGAAUUAGAGAGCUGGAGCUCUUCUUGGAAGCAACAGAGCACACCGUCUCCACCAAGGAGGAGACAGGGGACUCCCCUGAGAAGGAGGCUAGUUCACCAACACAGGAGCCAGAUAUAUGGAGAAACGUGACUCAAAGAAGUAGGAGGCCCAGGGUUCGCUCUGAUUGUUUAGAAAUACACAAUCGCUUUGAGGUCCUCUCCCCUAGCAUGGAAGACGAAGAGCAGACUCCAUUUGAGGAUCUCUCCCUCAUUACAGUCGAUCAGGUAUAUGAAGACGAGCAGCAAAGUCAGUCCUCAGGGAAUGUGCAGGCGACCUUGGAACGGACAGCUCACGGAAGAACCCCGACCAAACCUAAGAGGAGGCGUGUAGUGGUGAUAGGGGAUUCCCUACUGAGGGGAACAGAAGCAGUGAUCUGUGGGCCUAACAAGAUGUCUCGGGAAGUGUGCUGUCUCCCCGGGGCUAAGAUCCAAGAUGUAACUGAACGAAUGCAAGGAAUCAUAAAACCCACUGACAAAUACCCCCUCCUCUUGGUUCAUGUGGGAACCAAUGACACUGCAAGCAAUAGCCUCCAGAAGAUCAAAAGAGACUACGAGGCUCUGGGCAGGAAACUGAAGCAAUUAAAUGCACAAAUUGUCAUCUCAUCUGUCCUCCCAGUUGAACAGACGUGGCCCAGGGAGAGAGGGAAAAAUAGUGGAAGUGAACAGCUGGCUUCGCAAAUGGUGUAAACAGGAACGGUUUGGAUUCUUAGAUCACGGACUGCAGUUUCUUGAAGAUGGACUUCUGGCAAGCGAUGGGCUGCACCUCACAACGGUUGGGAGGAAUGUUUUUGCCAAAAAUCUCAGAAACCUCAUCAGGAGGGCUUUAAACUGACUAAUGUGGGGAAGGGAGACAGUGCUCCUGAAGGUAGGAGUCUAUCAGUUGAUGAAGAUGAUCAUCCAAAUGUCAUAGACCAAAUGGAGCAAACAGCAUGCAGACCUAGUGGUGGGAGGAAAAAAAUCCUUAAAUAAGAGUCACGGGGGAAUGAUUAAUGGACUUCAAUGUCUGUACACUAAUGCGCAAAGCAUGGGAAAUAAACAAGAUGAGCUUGAGCUCUUGGUACAGCAAACUAAAUAUGACAUAAUAGGCAUCACUGAAACCUGGUGGGAUAAGUCCCACGAUUGGAAUGUAAUAAUGGAGGGAUACAAUCUAUUUCAGAGAAACAGACCAGACAAGAAAGGAGGAGGAGUGGCGUUAUAUGUCAGGGAUGUGUAUACCUGUGAAGAGAUCCAAGAUUUAGAACCUCAAAGCCAAAGUGAGAGCAUUUGGGUCAAAAUUAAGGGAGAGAAGAAUAACAGUGACCUCAUUGUGGGAGUUUACUAUAGAUCCCCAAGCCAAACGGAGGACAUAGAUGAUGCCUUCCUGGAACAGAUGGCCAAGCAUGCAAAAGGAAGGAGAUAGUAGUAAUGGGGGACUUCAAUUACCCGGAUAUUUGUUGGAUGUCAAACUCAGCCAAGAGCAUAAGGUCAAACAGAUUCCUCACUGGCCUUGCAGACAACUUCAUUGUCCAGAAAGUGGGAGAAGCAACAAGAGGAACAGCCAUUUUAGAUCUGGUCCUAACCAAUGUUGAUGACCUGGUUAGUGGGGUAGAAGUGGAAGGAUCAUUAGGCGCGAGUGAUCAUGCUCUUCUGAAGUUUACUAUACAGCGGAAAGGAGCAGCCAAGCAUACUAGGACUCAAUUUCUUGACUUUAAGAAAGCCGACUUCAUAAAACUUAGGGAAGUGCUGGGUGAGAUCCCAUGGACAGUAAUACUAAAAGGAAAGGGAGUUCAUGAUGGCUGGGAGUUUGUUAAGAGGGAGAUAGUAAAAGCACAACGUCAGGCAAUACCAAUGAGACGGAAACAUGGAAGGUGCCUAAAGAAGCCAGGGUGGCUAUCUAAAGAACUUUUAACUGAGUUAAGAUUAAAAAGGAUGUGUAC
rnacentral:lncRNA from 1 species